rnacentral:lncRNA from 1 species
GCCGGGCCUAGACUGGCCCUUCCUUGGCCCUGCAGGCACCGUGGGCCUGGGGCAGCCCUGAGGCCUCGCUGGGUCCCCAGCACCAUCUGCUGUGACAGGAGGUGAGUGAGUGCAGGCCCCAGGUGCUGGGUCGGCCCACGCCGGGAGCGCCGGGAACACAGGUCUGUCCCUUUGCCCACUUGGCCCCACCCUUGCCAUGGCACCCAUACCCGCCUGCCCUUGCUCUUCUCCCACUCUGGCCCUCGGCUGUGGCCCUGGUGGCCGCUGCUGUGCAGUUCUGAGGCCGGGGCCAUUUGCUGAUCCAGGGGCUGCUGCUUUCAGCCCACAGGUCCCCCUGCCACCACGCCAGACACAGGUUUUGUGAUGAAACCUGUUUGUGGCUCAGGCACUCCCGCCUCCCCUCCAGGAAAUCCACGUCCAGCCACCCUCUCUGUGCUAUCCCCUCAGUCACCUCGAUGCUGGAGGCGGAGGGCUCAGAGCCACUGCCCAGCGGCCGUACCACAGCGGACUCUCCUUAGACCGGUGCUGAGCCCGGCGGCCGGGCAAGGUGCAGAGGUGGCUCCAGACCCGCCGGCAGUCCAGCUGGCGCUAUCUCUGGGGCAGAACCCGUGGCCCCAGGCGGUGACAGCCUGUGUGUUUUCAGUGUUCACUCCUCACUCCAGCUCACCUGUUCCUGGCACUCUGGGCUGGGACUUGCUGGGACCCCCCACUUCCACCCAGCCCUUGCUGCUCCCUGAGGGUGGAGAGGAAACCCUGUCCUCAGGCCCUGUGAGCCGGAGAGAGCGCAUCUACGUGGUGACAGGCAACCCGCUUCCCAGGCGGAUGAGGCGGUCUCUCGGGGACUCCAGGAGGGCCUUGAGCCUUGGAACCAAUGAAAACAGGUGAUGCAGAAACCCUUCUCCUCCAGCUGUGCACCCCACAAGCUCUGGCAAGGACCCCUUUCAUCCAAGGCCACGGUUGUCCACAAAGCAGUUUCCAGAUGGGGCUCAGAGGACAGGUGCACCUGCCGUCACCUGGUUCUCAAAACCAUCCCAGUGUGGAUGGGGCCACAUUGGAAUCCUGGGCAGGAAGUGCCCGUCCUGUGAGCAUCUUGGCCAUCUGUAGCCUUCUCCACUAACGCGGCCGGGGCCAGGCUUGUCUUAGGUGCCUGUGCCUCGGGGAGCAUGGACCUGUUCCUCCUCACCUAGUAAAAUGAGAAAAGCACUCCACAGUUGUGAAGCCAUUCCCACCAUUUUUUUUUUUUUUUGAGACAGGUUCCUGCUCUGCCGUCCAGGCUGGAGUGCAGUAGUGCCAUCACGACUCAUUGCGGCCUUGACCUCCCAGGCUCAAGCGAUUCUCCUGCCUCAGCCUCCCAGGCAGGGGCCACAGGCACCAGCCAGCAUGCCCAGGCAAUCUCAGCAUCCUAAAGCCUGCUAUGCCUGGGAUGGCUGAUUCUCCUGGGGACCGGUGGGCAGGCAGUGGGGAUGCCGUGCUAAGCGAGGUCCUGCUGGUGCCUCUUGGGUUUCCUUUCUAAGCAGCCCACACUCCUGGGCCUGGUCUCGGAGAGCAGCAGUUUCUUGAGGGCAGGAGAAAUGAAAACAGGUUUUAUUUAUGGACAAAUAGUCGCAGCAGUUCCAUUGACAGACGCAGGCCGAUCUGCCGGCUCUUGGAGGCUGGAGCCUCUUGGGAGAUCUGUCUCCUCCGAGUCCUGUGCUUGGGUUUUAACUGGGUUUCUGCAAGGUGAUCCCAGCUGACAAUUUUGGGGAGAGAAUCAGGACAAUGGCAGCCCCACAGAAAGGGUUGAGACCGGUUCGGAAGGGCUGCUCACCCCUCGGGCUGGAAUGGAGCUGCCGGUGACCCGGUGGAGGCUGCGAACCCCAAGGGCAGGAGCCAGGGAGCCCCAUCCUGUGCCUUGGGGAGCACUUGUCUGCCGGGAGAGGAGGCCUGGUGCCUGCUGCCUCUCCCCUUGAAUUGUGGUGUUGUGGAGUAAUUGGUAGCCCCGAAAAGAUACGUCCAUUGGAACCUGUGUGACCUUAUUUGGGAAAAGAGUGUGCAGAUGUAACUGAGGACUGUGCGAUGAGAUCAUCCUGGAUCGGAGUGGGCCCUAAAUCUAAUGACCAGUAUCCUUAGAUGACACAGAGACGCACAGGGGGAAGCCACGUGGAGACAGAAGCAGAGAAAGGAGCGAUUCGGCCACAAGCCAAGGAAUGCCAAGAGCCUCCAGGAGCUGCAGGAGGCAGGAAGGGUCCUUCCCUAGAGCCUCCGCGGAGUGUGGGCCUGGGACCCUGAUUUCAGGCCUCCAGAGCCACGGAGGACACAUUUCUGUGUUUUGAGCCUCUGCAGCCCCAAGAGACCAGUGCCUGCCCAGGAGACCCUCGGGGUUUCUGUGGUUCUUCCUGACAGGCAGAAGCAUGAAAGGUAUUUGGGGUUGGAGCUGUCAAAACACAGAUCUCCACCCCGCUGGUUUUAACUGGAGGCUUUCUGAGCAUCUCUGUGCUGAUCGGACACAAAUGCAGUUAUUUUUAAUACAUUAGAUGGGCUCCUUUUGAAGAAGCUGUCAGGAAAAUCCACUGCAGGAAGUUUGAUGGGUGCCCUGCACCUUGUCUGAGUGCCCUGCAAUUACCCGCUUCUAGUCUGUGGCAGGUUCGCCAGGGUAGGGGCCUUGGGGACCCUCCCUGUUCCAGGCAUGCUUCCUUUGGUUAGAAGCAUGCUUCCAGGUCACUGCACUAGCAUCUGAGUGUUUGUCCCUAACCGUCUGGGCCUCUGGGGUUGCAGGGGCCCCACUGUCCCAGGGCUCUGCUGAGAGCUGCUGCCCUCUGAGCUGGGGUCUGGGUGCAGUUUGGCUCCUCCCAGGACUUGGGAGGUCAUGGCUCGGGUCCCCUGAGAGUUUGGGCCACUUUGGCAAAGCAAACUUCUGAGCGGGGCAGAAUCUUGGACCCUCAACCCUGUGCCAGGCCUGUGGGGACAGUGGGGCCGUUUGGGCAGCCACUCCCCACUGCCUCCUACAAGCUGGUUGAAGCCACUGGGCAGACACAGAGCUGCCAGACCUCUUGCCCAUGGCCCCUCCCAUCUCUGCCUCCUGCCCCAGAGGCUGCUGCCUCCGCCUGACCUGCUGCCACAGGAAGACCACCUGGAGACCACCCAGGGGGUCAGCGUGUUCACCUGAAGCCAGCUUCAAAGCAACCCCAGUGUUUCGCUGGCUCGGCCCUGACUCCCUCAGCCCAUCACAGGUGCAGAGGAAAUAAAGCCCCGUGCUUGGGGGCUCCCUGUACUAAGGACAGGCCAGAGAGAGGAGCUUCAGGCUGCUGUGUCUGAGGAGGUCCCUGGGCUGGAAAGACCUCUGUCCCCACUGGCAGCUUCUGUGUCUUAAGGGUGCAGGGCAGGGCAGUGGUGAUGGGAAAUGCUGGUGAGCCCUGGACCAGGGAUCCUGGAUCUGGUCCUCCACCAUGGGGUCAGCCCAGAUGGAAUGGCUUAUCCCUCAGCUCCAGGCAAUAAAUAGUGACCCCCGACAGCCGCUUCCUACUGUGCACAUCCUGCUGGGCACGCAGCCUGAAGUCGACAGGUGGACAAAUGAGCGUUCCUUGCCCUGGCUCCUGACCAGCACAUUCCGGACGGCUCUAUUCGCAGCUCCGGAGUGACACGGCCCAGACACACUUGCGGUCCCUCCCUGACUCGCAGGAGCCGGGGGCUUCGUGAUUCUGCCAAUCAACUGGGAAGUGACACCCCAGACAGCAGCAUCCCACGGCUGUUGUGAGCAGUUACAAUUGAGUGAUGCCCAAGCAGGAAUGAUUCCCAAACAGCUCCCGUACUCUCUGAAUGCUGAGAGCCUGGAAGUGUGAGUUUUUAAGGAGAGGAACCGUGUUUGAAUUAUAAGAAAACAAGGCUCUUGAAAUAAUUCUCUUAACCUUUAAAUAUGUCAAAGGAGAGUUACUGAAAUUUACAGUAAGUUCACCUUUUCACAGACAACAGGCUAAAAAUGUUUAAGUCCAAAUAAUGUUGCUCUUUUUCAUAAGCUUCAGUGUAAGAUUUACUCAAACACAGUGGCUGUCCUCAGACUCAUGUUUCUUGGAUAACUCUAUUUCUUUGUUCUGUGUU